rnacentral:rRNA from 1 species
AUGAUGCGACCGAAAGGCAUGGGCGGACCUAGUUUCAAGGAUUUUGAGCUAUUCAAUAUGGCUAUGUUGGCCAGACAUGCUUGGCGCUUGUUACAAUCACCGGAGUCACUUUGUGCUCGACUUCUGAAAAGCAUAUAUCAUCCCAAUAGUACAAUUUUGAGUGCAACUUUUGGCGGUCACCCAAGUCAGGUGUGGAGGGCAUUGAUAAAGGGUCGUGAUACUCUAAGAUUGGGCCUGAUUAAGCGCAUUCGUAAUGGUGCAACCACACGAAUAUGGGAUGACAACUGGUUACCUAGGGUAGAGAUGAUGAGACCCUACGGGUGUAUCACCCAAGAUCCCCCUUGUUUUAGUCUCAGAACUAAUUGA